rnacentral:rRNA from 1 species
UAACACAUGCAAGUCGAGGGGCAGCGGGGGUAGCGAUACCCGCCGGCGACCGGCGCACGGGUGAGUAACGCGUAUGCAACUUACCUAUCAGAGGGGGAUAACCCGGCGAAAGUCGGACUGAUACCGCAUGAAGCAGGGGCCCCGCAUGGGGAUAUUUGCUAAAGAUUCAUCGCUGAUAGAUAGGCAUGCGUUCCAUUAGGCAGUUGGCGGGGUAACGGCCCACCAAACCGACGAUGGAUAGGGGUUCUGAGAGGAAGGUCCCCCACAUUGGUACUGAGACACGGACCAAACUCCUACGGGAGGCAGCAGUGAGGAAUAUUGGUCAAUGGGCGUAAGCCUGAACCAGCCAAGUCGCGUGAGGGAUGAAGGUUCUAUGGAUCGUAAACCUCUUUUAUAAGGGAAUAAAGUGUGGGACGUGUCCUGUUUUGUAUGUACCUUAUGAAUAAGGAUCGGCUAACUCCGUGCCAGCAGCCGCGGUAAUACGGAGGAUCCGAGCGUUAUCCGGAUUUAUUGGGUUUAAAGGGUGCGUAGGCGGCCUUUUAAGUCAGCGGUGAAAGUCUGUGGCUCAACCAUAGAAUUGCCGUUGAAACUGGGGGGCUUGAGUAUGUUUGAGGCAGGCGGAAUGCGUGGUGUAGCGGUGAAAUGCUUAGAUAUCACGCAGAACCCCGAUUGCGAAGGCAGCCUGCCAAGCCAUGACUGACGCUGAUGCACGAAAGCGUGGGGAUCAAACAGGAUUAGAUACCCUGGUAGUCCACGCAGUAAACGAUGAUCACUAGCUGUUUGCGAUACACGGUAAGCGGCACAGCGAAAGCGUUAAGUGAUCCACCUGGGGAGUACGCCGGCAACGGUGAAACUCAAAGGAAUUGACGGGGGCCCGCACAAGCGGAGGAACAUGUGGUUUAAUUCGAUGAUACGCGAGGAACCUUACCCGGGUUUGAACGCAUUCGGACCGAGGUGGAAACACCUUUUCUAGCAAUAGCCGUUUGCGAGGUGCUGCAUGGUUGUCGUCAGCUCGUGCCGUGAGGUGUCGGCUUAAGUGCCAUAACGAGCGCAACCCUUGCCACUAGUUACUAACAGGUGAUGCUGAGGACUCU